rnacentral:rRNA from 1 species
GAUGAACGCUGGCGGCGUGCCUAAUACAUGCAAGUCGAGCGAACAGAUAAGGAGCUUGCUCCUUUGACGUUAGCGGCGGACGGGUGAGUAACACGUGGGUAACCUACCUAUAAGACUGGAAUAACUCCGGGAAACCGGGGCUAAUGCAGGAUAACAUGUUGAACCGCAUGGUUCUACAGUGAAAGGCGGCUUUGCUGUCACUUAUAGAUGGACCCGCGCCGUAUUAGCUAGUUGGUGAGGUAACGGCUCACCAAGGCAACGAUACGUAGCCGACCUGAGAGGGUGAUCGGCCAACCGGGAACUGAGACACGGCCCAGACCCCUAGGGGAGGCAGCAGGGGGGAAUUUUCCGCAAUGGGCGAAAGCCUGACGGGGCAACGCCGCGGGAGUGAGGAAGGUCUUCGGAUCGUAAAACUCUGUUAUUAGGGAAAAAAAAAUGCGUAAGUAACUGUGGGCGUUUUGACGGUACCUAAUCAAAAAGCCACGGCGAACUACGU